rnacentral:rRNA from 1 species
UACGUAGGGUGCAAGCGUUAAUCGGAAUUACUGGGCGUAAAGCGUGCGCAGGCGGUGAUGUAAGACAGAUGUGAAAUCCCCGGGCUCAACCUGGGAACUGCAUUUGUGACUGCAUCGCUGGAGUGCGGCAGAGGGGGAUGGAAUUCCGCGUGUAGCAGUGAAAUGCGUAGAUAUGUGGAGGAACACCGAUGGCGAAGGCAGCCUCCUGGGCCAGCACUGACGCUCAUGCACGAAAGCGUGGGGAGCAAACAGG